GGCCCAAUUCCUACGGGAGGUGCAGUAGGGAAUCUUCCACAAUGGCGAAAGCCUGAUGGAGCAACGCCGCGUGUGUGAUGAAGGCUUUCGGGUCGUAAAGCACUGUUGUAUGGAAGAAAAGUUAAGGUAGGGAAUGACCUUAGCCUGACGGUACCAUACCAGAAAGGGACGGCUAAAUACGUGCCAGCAGCCGCGGUAAUACGUAUGUCCCGAGCGUUAUCCGGAUUUAUUGGGCGUAAAGCGAGCGCAGACGGUUGGUUAAGUCUGAUGUGAAAGCCCGGAGCUCAACUCCGGAAAGGCAUUGGAAACUGGUUAACUUGAGUGCAGUAGAGGUAAGUGGAACUCCAUGUGUAGCGGUGGAAUGCGUAGAUAUAUGGAAGAACACCAGCGGCGAAGGCGGCUUACUGGACUGUAACUGACGUUGAGGCUCGAAAGUGUGGGUAGCAAACAGGAUUAGAUACCCUGGUAGUCCACACCGUAAACGAUGAACACUAGGUGUUAGGAGGUUUCCGCCUCUUAGUGCCGAAGCUAACGCAUUAAGUGUUCCGCCUGGGGAGUACGACCGCAAGGUUGAAACUCAAAGGAAUUGACGGGGACCCGCACAAGCGGUGGAGCAUGUGGUUUAAUUCGAAGCAACGCGAAGAACCUUACCAGGUCUUGACAUCCUUUGAAGCUUUUAGAAAUAGAAGUGUUCUCUUCGGAGACAAAGUGACAGGUGGUGCAUGGUCGUCGUCAGCUCGUGUCGUGAGAUGUUGGGUUAAGUCCCGCAACGAGCGCAACCCUUAUUGUUAGUUGCCAGCAUUCAGAUGGGCACUCUAGCGAGACUGCCGGUGACAAACCGGAGGAAGGCGGGGACGACGUCAGAUCAUCAUGCCCCUUAUGACCUGGGCUACACACGUGCUACAAUGGCGUAUACAACGAGUUGCCAACCUGCGAAGGUGAGCUAAUCUCUUAAAGUACGUCUCAGUUCGGACUGCAGUCUGCAACUCGACUGCACGAAGUCGGAAUCGCUAGUAAUCGCGGAUCAGCACGCCGCGGUGAAUACGUUCCCGGGUCUUGUACACACCGCCCGUCACACCAUGGAAGUUUGUAAUGCCCAAAGCCGGUGGCCUAACCGUAAG
rnacentral:rRNA from 1 species